GACCACGUGUGUGAGGGCAUGCAGGCAUGUUUGCAAGCUUGUAGUCUGCACACAGCACACGGGUGCCUGUGUGGGGUCGUGAAUACGUGUGGGAGCGUGUGAGCAUCCCUGCCUGCUCUGGGCACCUGCAGGGAGUCUGUGUUUACAGGACCUGACCUCACAGCCCAUGCAGCAGGGCCCCGGACCUAACAGAGCCCAUGUCCCUGUUGUUAAGCAUUGCUGUCCCUGGCCGGGCAUCUUCCUCUACAGGCCUGGCCUGUGCGUUUCCGGUCCGAUGCUGGUUUGUGGCUGUGAAGCAACCGGCACAUAACUUCUGGGGAUGAGAGGUGUGUCCCUGCUGGCGGGUAGACAUGAUGCUGACCUUGUGUGCUGCAGUGCCACUUUUUACACAUAAAAUAAAAUUGUUUCCUGAAGGCA